UACGGGGGGGCAAGCGUUGUUCGGAAUUACUGGGCGUAAAGGGCUCGUAGGUGGCCAACUAAGUCAGACGUGAAAUCCCUCGGCUUAACCGGGGAACUGCGUCUGAUACUGGAUGGCUUGAGUUUGGGAGAGGGACGCGGAAUUCCAGGUGUAGCGGUGAAAUGACGCAGAUAUCGGGAGGAACACCAAUGCGAAGGCAGCUUGCUGGGACGGUACUGACGCUGAGGCGCGAAAGCGUGGGGAGCAACAGG
rnacentral:rRNA from 1 species